rnacentral:rRNA from 1 species
GAUGAACGCUAGCUACAGGCUUAACACAUGCAAGUCGAGGGGAAACGGCAUUGAGUGCUUGCACUCUUUGGACGUCGACCGGCGCACGGGUGAGUAACGCGUAUCCAACCUUCCCAUUACUGUGGGAUAACCUGCCGAAAGGCAGACUAAUACCGCAUAGUCUUCGAUGACGGCAUCAGAUUUGAAGUAAAGAUUUAUCAGUAAUGGAUGGGGAUGCGUCUGAUUAGCUUGUUGGCGGGGUAACGGCCCACCAAGGCUACGAUCAGUAGGGGUUCUGAGAGGAAGGUCCCCCACAUUGGAACUGAGACACGGUCCAAACUCCUACGGGAGGCAGCAGUGAGGAAUAUUGGUCAAUGGACGGAAGUCUGAACCAGCCAAGUAGCGUGCAGGAUGACGGCCCUAUGGGUUGUAAACUGCUUUUGUAUGGGGAUAAAGUUAGGGACGUGUCCCUAUUUGCAGGUACCAUACGAAUAAGGACCGGCUAAUUCCGUG